rnacentral:rRNA from 1 species
AGAGUUUGAUCCUGGCUCAGAUUGAACGCUGGCGGCACGCCUUACACAUGCAAGUCGAACGGUAACAGGUCUUCGGACGCUGACGAGUGGCGAACGGGUGAGUAAUACAUCGGAACGUGCCCAGUCGUGGGGGAUAACUACUCGAAAGAGUAGCUAAUACCGCAUACGAUCUGAGGAUGAAAGCGGGGGACCUUCGGGCCUCGCGCGAUUGGAGCGGCCGAUGGCAGAUUAGGUAGUUGGUGGGAUAAAAGCUUACCAAGCCGACGAUCUGUAGCUGGUCUGAGAGGACGACCAGCCACACUGGGACUGAGACACGGCCCAGACUCCUACGGGAGGCAGCAGUGGGGAAUUUUGGACAAUGGGCGAAAGCCUGAUCCAGCAAUGCCGCGUGCAGGAUGAAGGCCUUCGGGUUGUAAACUGCUUUUGUACGGAACGAAAAAGCUCCUUCUAAUACAGGGGGCCCAUGACGGUACCGUAAGAAUAAGCACCGGCUAACUACGUGCCAGCAGCCGCGGUAAUACGUAGGGUGCGAGCGUUAAUCGGAAUUACUGGGCGUAAAGCGUGUGCAGGCGGUUAUGUAAGACAGAUGUGAAAUCCCCGGGCUCACCUGGGAACUGCAUUUGUGACUGCAUGG